rnacentral:rRNA from 1 species
AAAGGCUCAUUAAAUCAGUUAUGGUUCCUUAGAUCGUACCCACAAUUACUUGGAUAACUGUGGUAAUUCUAGAGCUAAUACAUGCAAACAGAGCUCCGACCGGAGACGGAAGGAGUGCUUUUAUUAGAUCAAAACCAAUCGGUGGCGGGUUCGCCCGUUAUCGUACAACUUGGUGACUCUGAAUAACUUUACGCUGAUCGCACGGUCAUCGCACCGGCGACGCAUCUUUCAAAUGUCUGCCUUAUCAACUGUCGAUGGUAGGUUCUGCGCCUACCAUGGUUGUAACGGGUAACGGGGAAUCAGGGUUCGAUUCCGGAGAGGGAGCCUGAGAAACGGCUACCACAUCCAAGGAAGGCAGCAGGCGCGCAAAUUACCCACUCCCGGCACGGGGAGGUAGUGACGAAAAAUAACGAUACGGGACUCAUCCGAGGCCCCGUAAUCGGAAUGAGUACACUCUAAACCCUU